rnacentral:rRNA from 1 species
ACGGAGGGUGCAAGCGUUAAUCGGAAUUACUGGGCGUAAAGCGCACGCAGGCGGUUUGUUAAGUCAGCUGUGAAAUUCCCCGGCUCAACCGGGGAACUGCAUCUGAUACUGGUAAGCUUGAGUCUCGUAAAGGGGGGUGGAAUUCCAGGUGUAGCGGGGAAAUGCGUAGACAUCCUGAGUAAGUCCGGUUGCGAAGGCGGCUUCCUGGACGAGGACUGAUGCUCAUGCGCGAAAGCGUGGGGAGCAAACAG